rnacentral:rRNA from 1 species
GAUGAACGCUGGCGGCGUGCCUAAUACAUGCAAGUCGAGCGAACAGACGAGGAGCUUGCUCCUCUGACGUUAGCGGCGGACGGGUGAGUAACACGUGGAUAACCUACCUAUAAGACUGGGAUAACUUCGGGAAACCGGAGCUAAUACCGUAUAAUAUAUUGCACCGCAUGGUUCAAUAGUGAAAGACGGCUUUUCUGUCACUUAUAGAUGGAUCUGCGCCGCAUUAGCUAGUUGGUAAGGUAACGGCUUACCAAGGCAACGAUGCGUAGCCGACCGGCGAGGGUGAUCGGCCACACUGGAACUGGGACACGGUCCAGACUCCUACGGGAGGCAGCAGUAGGGAAUCUUCCGCAAUAGGCGAAAGCCUGACGGAGCAACGCCGCGUGAGUGAUGAAGGUCUUCGGAUCGUAAAACUCUGUUAUUAGGGAAGAACAAAUGUGUAAGUAACUAUGCACGUCUUGACGGUACCUAAUCAGAAAGCCACGGCUAACUACGUG